rnacentral:snRNA from 1 species
AGCUUUGCACAGUGGCAGUAUUGUAGCCAUGAGGUUUAUCCGAGGCGUAAUUAUUACUAAUUGAAAACUUUUCCCAAAAAUG